AUUGAACGCUGGCGGCAUGCCUUACACAUGCAAGUCGAACGGCAGCGGGCCCUUCGGGGUGCCGGCGAGUGGCGAACGGGUGAGUAAUGCAUCGGAACGUACCCGGGAGAGGGGGAUAACCGGCCGAAAGGCUGGCUAAUACCGCAUGAACUCGGAAGAGCAAAGCGGGGGACCUUCGGGCCUCGCGCUCUCGGAGCGGCCUAUGUCCGAUUAGGCUAGUUGGUGGGGUAAAGGCUAACCAAGGCGACGAUCGGUAGCGGGUCUGAGAGGAGGAUCAGCCACACUGGGACUGAGACACGGCCCAGACUCCUACGGGAGGCAGCAGUGGGGAAUCUUGGACAAUGGGCGCAAGCCUGAUCCAGCAAUGCCGCGUGGGUGAAGAAGGCCUUCGGGUUGUAAAGCCCUUUCGGCGGGGAAGAAAUGGGUCAGGCGAAUAGUCUGGCCGGAUGACGGUACCCGCAGAAGAAGCACCGGCUAACUACGUG
rnacentral:rRNA from 1 species